rnacentral:rRNA from 1 species
UAACACGUGGAUAAUCUGCCCUGCACAGGGGGACAACAGCUAGAAAUGGCUGCUAAUACCGCAUAAGCCUACAGCCUCGCAUGAGGGAGUAGGAAAAGAAAUUCGGUGCAGGAUGAGUCCGCGUCUGAUUAGCUAGUUGGAGGGGUAAAAGCCCACCAAGGCAACGAUCAGUAGCCGGCCUGAGAGGGCGGACGGCCANAUUGGGACUGAGACACGGCCCAGACUCCUACGGAAGGCAGCAG